rnacentral:rRNA from 1 species
AUUGAACGCUGGCGGCAUGCUUUACACAUGCAAGUCGAACGGUAACAGGCCGCAAGGUGCUGACGAGUGGCGAACGGGUGAGUAAUGCAUCGGAACGUGCCCAGUCGUGGGGGAUAACUACUCGAAAGAGUAGCUAAUACCGCAUACCAUCUAUGGAUGAAAGCGGGGGACCGUAAGGCCUCGCGCGAUUGGAGCGGCCGAUGUCAGAUUAGGUAGUUGGUGGGGUAAAGGCUCACCAAGCCAACGAUCUGUAGCUGGUCUGAGAGGACGACCAGCCACACUGGGACUGAGACACGGCCCAGACUCCUACGGGAGGCAGCAGUGGGGAAUUUUGGACAAUGGGCGCAAGCCUGAUCCAGCAAUGCCGCGUGCAGGAAGAAGGCCUUCGGGUUGUAAACUGCUUUUGUACGGAACGAAACGGCUCUGGUUAAUACCCGGGGCUAAUGACGGCACCGUAAGAAUAAGCACCGGCUAACUACGUG